UGAUGUCUCAAUCCUAAACCAGAAAUUUUGUUUAAUUUUAUAACAGUUGAUAAAAUAUCUUAAACUAGAGUUACUAAUUAAAAGGGACUUGGUAUUAUAUUCGUUUUGCAAGUUUGAAAUCAAUACAAAUACAGUUUCAAAAAGGACGAUCACAAUAAAACGCAACGUUUCUCGCCUGAGAUAAAAAAAGAGCGUGAAGUCACGCGCCGCCAAUUUUUCUCUCUCGAAACCUAGUUUCAUCGUUUUCAACUUCCGUCUCCGCCCACGAUCGAUUCUCCCGCCUAGUCCAACAUCCUCUCUGUUAUGAUAGCCGUUGGUGAAGGGUUUCAGUUCUGCUGGUGAUCUUAUGCGAAUUUGUAGCUCCGGCUUCGGUUCCAUUCCGAGAUGGUUGCGUAGUGUCUUGGCUUCUCUAGCGACUAUGUCGGCGCCCCGCGACUUCUCUUCACUGGUGGAAGUUUCUCCCCUCCCAACAACUAGGCCACUUCGACGGGGUGGUUCCCAAACGUCGCUUCUUGCCAUCUCGACCCAAGGUAAUUUGGGUAUGCUUCGCUGAGCUAGAGGUCCCGGGACUUCAGACUUCGUUGUGGGGUUACUUUUUCAAGAGUCAAGCUAGGCGGUCUGCUAUUGAGUUUAAUCGAGUGAAGCUGUGGAGAUUAUUUGAUUUCAUGGAGCUUGGGGUUGCACCUUGCGGCUGGAGGAGGGAGUAAGACCCGGGAGGUGGUGAUGCUGCACCCUUACCCUUAACCGGCUGAGAGGACAAGUGCGGUUUGGUGAGUUGAGUGCUAUUAAGCACCCGUGGUCCUUGUUGUCCCGUCCUUGCUGAAAUUAGGUUCAGAUCUUACCCUGGCCGGACUUAGAGGGCGGUCCUUGAGCGAGUUCGAGUAUGUUUCUCUGAGAAAGGUAAUGGUUCAGGCAGCUGACUGAAACAACUUCUUUGCGAGCGUCGUGUUCCUCGAUCUCCAGUCUUCGGGUCUCUCUAUCUUGUCCAUCUCGAUUUGAUCUUUUCAUCUGAAUUUUCAAAAUUGUAUCGAAUCUUUUGUCCUGUUCGCUUCCAAACAGAACAGUUUCAGCUUCGAUUGUCAUUUGAUUACAUGUUUUUUUAACUUUUUUGCCAUGUAAUCAAGCAUAGAGGUCUUACAGCUUGUUUAACAACAUCUUGUAACCUCAACAUUCAUUCUGAUAA